rnacentral:rRNA from 1 species
CGUGUGCUUACAAGUAGUCAGAGCCCGUUAAUGGGUGAUGGCGUGCCUUUUGUAGAAUGAACCGGCGAGUUACGAUUUGAUGCAAGGUUAAGCAGUAAAUGUGGAGCCGUAGCGAAAGCGAGUCUGAAUAGGGCGUUUAGUAUUUGGUCGUAGACCCGAAACCAGGUGAUCUACCCUUGGUCAGGUUGAAGUUCAGGUAACACUGAAUGGAGGACCGAACCGACUUACGUUGAAAAGUGAGCGGAUGAACUGAGGGUAGCGGAGAAAUUCCAAUCGAACCUGGAGAUAGCUGGUUCUCUCCGAAAUAGCUUUAGGGCUAGCCUCAAGUGAUGAUUAUUGGAGGUAGAGCACUGUUUGGACGAGGGGCCCCUCUCGGGUUACCGAAUUCAGACAAACUCCGAAUGCCAAUUAAUUUAACUUGGGAGUCAGAACAUGGGUGAUAAGGUCCGUGUUCGAAAGGGAAACAGCCCAGACCACCAGCUAAGGUCCCAAAAUAUAUGUUAAGUGGAAAAGGAUGUGGCGUUGCCCAGACAACUAGGAUGUUGGCUUAGAAGCAGCCAUC